AAUCAACGCUGGCGGCGUGCCUCAGACAUGCAAGUCGAACGCGAAAGGUUCCUUCGGGAACCCGGUAGAGUGGCGCACGGGUGAGUAACACGUGGGUAAUUUGCCUUCGGGUGGGGAAUAACAGUCGGAAACGGCUGCUAAUACCGCAUAAUGCAGCGGCAUCAUAAGAUGACAGUUGUUAAAGCGGGGGAGUCGUAAGACCUCGCGCCUGAAGAGAAG
rnacentral:rRNA from 1 species